rnacentral:tRNA from 1 species
CAGGCAGUAGCUCAGCAGGAAGAGCUCGGACCCACAUCCGGCGGUCGUUGGUUCGAGUCCAACCUGCCUGA